ensembl:rRNA 5S_rRNA 5S ribosomal RNA
ACAGCCGUACCACCCUGAACACGCCCAGUCCCGUCUGAUCUCAGAAGCUAAGCAGGAUGGGGCCUGGUUAGUACUUGGAUGGGAGAAUGCCCGAAAGGCUUCCCAGGAAGUCAGCUGUC